UUCUGCAAGUGUUAACUUUUAAAACAGAUAGAAACAAAAUUGAUAAAAAUUCCGCAAACCCAAAAUUUGCAAAACGUUGUUCAUUUGGGAAUUCAGGAUUUGUGAGUGUUACAUUAAGUGUUGUUCUACAAUUUGCGCUUUUUGAGGGUCACUAAGAUGAUGUCAUUCUCUUUCAAAAAAUUAAUUUGGAAUUGUAUUGAAAGUAUGUUUUCCGUUAAACAUCUAUAUUAUUUGGAAAGAGUUUCUAAAAUAUUUCAGUCGCUGUGAUAAUAUAUUUGAAUCCUACAUGCAGAGGAAUUAUAUAUAAAAAUUUGUACACGUUCUAUCAAAUCAUUUGUUUAAAAAAGAUGUUUUCUAAAACUACUGUAUACUCUUAAGUAUUGAUCCAUUGAAUAUUGUAUAUUUCUAUUAAUAAAAUUAAAAUUAUUUGAGGUGAUGAAAUAAAGCUUUGUUUCAAAUAAUUUGUAGAUAAUUGAUCAUUUUACAAACCAUUUCUCAGAACAAUGAUUUCCUGGUAGAAACAUUUUGACACAUCAGCAUGCCAUAUAAGGCUUGAAUGUGACUGGACUAUCUAUUAAGAAGCUAUUCGACACGAGGGUUUAAUAGUAAGAUAUGUUUUCAAACAAGAUAGAAGUGACACACAUUUUCAUGCAUUGAUAAGAAAUUCAAAUCAAAAAGAAAAUCAACUGGAGUGAAAAAGUUGAUGGAGAGCCAAAUUGUUGAAUGUCUGGACCACCAAAGAUCAGGACAUCGGAGAAAGUCUCUUUCGUUCCUCUACUACAAUUCCUUUUGUUUACAUUGAAAUGUAACGUUAUAUAAAAAUGAGUAACAAUC